GACGAACGCUGGCGGCGUGCUUAACACAUGCAAGUCGAACGGUGAAGCACCUUCCUUUUGGUGGGUGUGGAUGAGUGGCGAACGGGUGAGGAACACGUGAGUAACCUGCCCCCUUCUUCUGGAUAACCGCAUGAAAGUGUGGCUAAUACGGGAUAUUCUGGGUCUGUCGCAUGGCGGGCCUGGGAAAGAUAUUGUUUCGGUGGGGGAUGGGCUCGCGGUCUAUCAGCUUGUUGGUGGGGUGAUGGCCUACCAAGGCGGUGACGGGUAGCCGGCCUGAGAGGGUGGACGGUCACACUGGGACUGAGACACGGCCCAGACUCCUACGGGAGGCAGCAGUGGGGAAUAUUGCACAAUGGGCGCAAGCCUGAUGCAGCGACGCCGCGUGAGGGAUGGAGGCCUGCGGGUUGUAAACCUCUUUCGCCAGUGAAGCAGGCCUGUCCCUUUUGUGGGUGGGUUGACGGUAGCUGGAUAAGAAGCGCCGGCUAACUACGUG
rnacentral:rRNA from 1 species